UUCCGGGGCGGUCGGGGCGGCCACGUCAUGAUCGGGCUCCGCUCUCCAGCCGGGCAGUGUAUGGUGGGAGCCAAGAUGGCGGCGGCCGCAGCAGCCAGUAUUCGAGAGAGACAAACAGUGGCUUUGAAACGUAUGUUGAAUUUUAAUGUGCCUCAUAUUAAAAACAGCACUGGAGAACCAGUAUGGAAGGUGCUCAUUUAUGACAGAUUUGGCCAAGAUAUCAUCUCUCCUCUGCUAUCUGUGAAGGAGCUGAGAGACAUGGGAAUCACUCUGCAUCUGCUUUUGCACUCUGAUCGAGAUCCUAUUCCAGAUGUUCCUGCAGUGUACUUCGUAAUGCCAACUGAAGAAAAUAUUGACAGAAUGUGUCAGGAUCUUCGAAAUCAACUCUAUGAAUCAUAUUAUUUAAAUUUUAUUUCUGCUAUUUCAAGAAGUAAACUGGAAGAUAUUGCAAAUGCAGCAUUAGCAGCUAGUGCAGUAACACAAGUAGCCAAGGUUUUCGAUCAGUAUCUCAAUUUUAUUACUUUGGAAGAUGAUAUGUUUGUAUUAUGUAAUCAAAAUAAGGAGCUUGUUUCAUAUCGUGCCAUUAACAGACCAGAUAUCACAGACACAGAAAUGGAAACUGUUAUGGACACUAUUGUUGACAGCCUCUUUUGCUUUUUUGUUACACUGGGUGCUGUCCCUAUAAUCAGAUGUUCAAGAGGAACAGCAGCAGAAAUGGUAGCAGUGAAACUAGAUAAGAAACUUCGGGAAAAUCUGAGAGAUGCAAGAAACAGUCUUUUUACAGGUGACACACUUGGAGCUGGCCAGUUCAGCUUCCAAAGGCCUUUAUUAGUCCUUGUUGACAGAAACAUAGAUUUGGCAACUCCUUUACACCAUACUUGGACAUAUCAAGCCUUGGUGCAUGAUGUACUGGAUUUCCACUUGAACAGAGUUAAUUUGGAAGAGUCUUCAGGAGUGGAGAAUUCCCCAGCUGGUGCUAGACCAAAGAGAAAAAACAAGAAGUCUUAUGAUUUAACUCCAGUUGAUAAAUUUUGGCAGAAACAUAAAGGAAGUCCAUUCCCAGAAGUUGCAGAAUCAGUUCAGCAAGAACUAGAGUCUUACAGAGCACAGGAAGAUGAGGUUAAACGACUUAAAAGCAUUAUGGGACUAGAAGGGGAAGAUGAAGGAGCCAUAAGUAUGCUGUCUGACAAUACUGCUAAGUUAACAUCAGCCGUUAGUUCUUUGCCAGAACUCCUUGAAAAAAAAAGACUUAUUGAUCUCCAUACGAAUGUUGCCACUGCUGUUUUAGAACAUAUAAAGGCAAGAAAAUUGGAUGUAUAUUUUGAAUAUGAAGAAAAAAUAAUGAGCAAAACUACUCUGGAUAAAUCGCUUCUAGAUAUAAUAUCAGACCCUGAUGCAGGAACUCCAGAAGAUAAAAUGAGGCUGUUUCUUAUCUAUUACAUAAGUGCACAGCAAGCACCUUCUGAGGCUGAUUUGGAGCAAUACAAAAAAGCUUUAACUGAUGCUGGAUGCAACCUUAAUCCCUUACAAUAUAUCAAACAGUGGAAGGCUUUUGCCAAGAUGGCUUCAGCUCCUACCAGCUAUGGCAACACUACCACUAAACCAAUGGGUCUCUUAUCACGAGUCAUGAAUACAGGAUCACAAUUUGUGAUGGAAGGAGUGAAGAACCUGGUAUUGAAACAGCAAAAUCUACCUGUUACUCGUAUUUUAGACAAUCUCAUGGAGAUGAAGUCAAACCCUGAAACUGAUGACUAUAGAUAUUUUGAUCCCAAAAUGCUGCGGGGCAAUGACAGACACUGAGAUAUGUACUUCAUCUAGCUGUUCCUCUGAAUCCCACUUCACUACCUGGCUCAAAGAAGGUGAAGGAAGAAGAAUUGUAAAUACAUAGCUAAUAGUGCGUGCGUGUGUCUGUGUGUUUCCCAUGCCUAUUUUAUCCUUAAGUGAAGCUUUGGGUGAAAUUUUCGUGUGUGUUUUUUGUUGUUGUUCUUACAGCUCAGUUCCAAGGAACAAAAAUCCAUUUCAAGAGGUAAGUUCAUAUAAAAAUCCUCUGUCCCUGAAAUGGAAGGAUGAAAGGUAACCAAGCAGUCUUGAAGAAUAUCUUUGUCCUAAACAUAGCUUCAUGAUGAUUACUGUAUGGCAGUCUUGAAAAAUCCAAUUCCAUGUACCUAAGAUUCUUUAUAAAUGACAAAUUCAAAAAUAACUUUUGGAAAAAGCCCUUUGGAUUUAUUUGGUAUUGUUUAAUUGAAGGAUGAAGUUUAUUUUCCUCAGAAUUGUUUCUGAAAAAUCUCCACUUCAUUUUACUACUCGAUAGAAAUUAGAAAUUUAUAAAUUUAUAGACUUUUCUAAGAAAUAAAUUUCUUUAUAAUUGAAGUAGCAUCAGGCACUUAGGUAAAAAAAUACUAGCCAGCAAGGGAUCACAUCCUAAGUUGUGGAAUGGGCUCCAGACUAUACCCCAUGUUUGAGAGUUAAAAUACUGUUUUAACUAUUUCUUUUAACUUACCUAUUUUUAUUCUGUUUGCAUUUUUAGGCAAUUGUUUUUGUGGUGGGAGGAGGCAACUACAUUGAAUAUCAAAAUCUUGUUGACUACAUAAAGGGGAAACAAGGCAAGCACAUCUUAUAUGGCUGCAGUGAACUUUUUAAUGCUACACAGUUCAUAAAACAG